AUUGAACGCUGGCGGCAGGCCUAACGCAUGCAAGUCGAGCGGUAGAGAGGUGCUUGCAUCUCUUGAGAGCGGCGGACGGGUGAGUAAUGCCUAGGAAUCUGCCUAGUGGUGGGGGAUAACGUUCGGAAACGGACGCUAAUACCGCAUACGUCCUACGGGAGAAAGCGGGGGAUCUUCGGACCUCGCGCCAUUAGAUGAGCCUAGGUCGGAUUAGCUAGUUGGUGAGGUAAUGGCUCACCAAGGCGACGAUCCGUAACUGGUCUGAGAGGAUGAUCAGUCACACUGGAACUGAGACACGGUCCAGACUCCUACGGGAGGCAGCAGUGGGGAAUAUUGGACAAUGGGCGAAGACCUGAUCCAGCCAUGCCGCGUGUGUGAAGAAGGUCUUCGGAUUGUAAAGCACUUUAAGUUGGGAGGAAGGGUAGUAACCUAAU
rnacentral:rRNA from 1 species